rnacentral:rRNA from 1 species
UAGGGAAUCUUCGGCAAUGGACGAAAGUCUGACCGAGCAACGCUGCGUGAGUGAAGAAGGUUUUCGGAUCGUAAAACUCUGUUGUUAGAGAAGAACAAGGACGUUAGUAACUGAACGUCCCCUGACGGUAUCUAACCAGAAAGCCACGGCUAACUACGUGCCAGCAGCCGCGGUAAUACGUAGGUGGCAAGCGUUGUCCGGAUUUAUUGGGCGUAAAGCGAGCGCAGGCGGUUUCUUAAGUCUGAUGUGAAAGCCCCCGGCUCAACCGAGGAGGGUCAUUGGAAACUGGGAGGCUUGAGUGGAGAAGAGGAGAGUGGAAUUCCAUGUGUAGCGGUGAAAUGCGUAGAUAUAUAGAGGAACACCAGUGACGAAGGCGGCUCUCUGGUCUGUAACUGACGCUGAGGCACGAAGGCGUGGGGAGCAAACAGG